AAUAUAGCUACUAUUGCUGCAAGGCCUCUCCAUGCCUUCUGAAUGUUUUCUGAAGGAAAGAACACAAGUAGAGCAUGGGAAAAAUAAAAGGCAUUUGGCAGCGGCAGCAGAUACAAGUAUGAACCAAAGGGGAAAAACCUGCAGGCGCUUUUUCUUUUCUGGUAUAGGGAGGAGAAUGCAGCUGAAAAGACCUCAGAGGUUUGUCUGCUGAAGCAACAGGACUUUGCUGGCCUUCCAGACGUGAACUGGGACCUAAAAGAAUUCAAGGAAUCAAUUCCAGGAGAAAAAACCCAAGUCUUCCAAAUAAUCAAUUGCAAAAUAACUUUACUGGAAAAAGUAGAAUAUGGCAUAUGAAUAAAGUAACAUAAUAGAAAGAAAUACGUAAUACAUUUUUUAUAAACUUAAUGGAAAGGAAAUUUGGGAUUUAGUUUCUUGUAGCUUUAGGUAGGCAAGGAGCAGUUGCUAGAGAUAAACCUUGCCUAGCCUUCAGAUGUUAAAAGCUGCAAAUAAUUGAGAGACAUAGAGCACAUUCAGGUUGCAGCCUCAGCAUGAAGGUACAAAUGCCAGAGAAAUGCUGCUCCAGAGAUGUUUUUUUUCUUUUAUUAUCUAUUAACUAGUAUAAAAAAGCAUUGUAACAAUCCCAUUGUUGUGGUUUAACCCCAGCCAGCAACUAAGCACCACGCAGCCGCUCACUCGCUCACCCCCUGACCCCCCCCCACAGUGGGAUGGGGGAGAAAUUCAGGAAAAGAAGCAAAACCCGUGGGUUGAGAUAAGAACGGUUUAAUAGAACAGAAAAGAAGAAACUAAUAAUGAUAAUGAUAACACUAAUAAAAUAACAACAGUAGAAAUAAAAGGAUUGGAAUGUACGAAUGAUACGCGGGGCAAUUGCUCACCACCUGCCGACCAACACCCAGCUAGUCCCCGAGUGGCAAAUUCCCACUCCCACUUCCCAGUUCCUAUACUAGAUGUGACGUCCCAUAGUAUGGAAUACCCUGUUGGCCAGUUUGGGUCAGGUGCCCUGGCUGUGUCCUGUGCCAACUUCUCGUGCCCCUCCAGCUUUCUCACUGGCUGGGGAUGAGAAGCUGAAAAAUCCUUGACUUUAGUCUAAACACUACUUAGCAACAACUGAAAACAUCAGCAUUAUCAACAUUCUUGCAUACUGAACUCAAAACAUAGCACUGUACCAGCUACUAGGAAGACAGUUAACUCUAUCCCAGCUGAAACCAGGAUACUUGUUUAUCACUGUGCUGCUAGAUAGACUACAUCUAACUUCUGACCGAACUCUUAUAUUUUGUUGGUCCUCCCACAGUCUGAUCUUGCUUUGCAGUUUUAGCUGUGGAGUAAAGAGUUCGUUCCAUUUCCAUUUUUAAUUACCAUUACUUGCCUAUGCUAAUUUCUCUUUGAUGCUUCUUCCCUGGCAUCUCUUUAGGACUUAGGAUAAAAACCUUAACUUAUAAAGCAUCCUAGAAAAAUACAGUAGUGUUACAUUUCCACCAAUGUUCUUGCACAUAUAGAUAGCCUGCUUGUUUUUCAUAUUAAGUCUUGCUAUUGUUCGUUUAUACAGAUCUAGCCUAACAGAGAUUUGGUCCGUGACUUAAUCUCUUAGAUACUGUUAUUUCCAUACUUUUUAUUUGUGAAGUACUUACUCUAUGGACGGAUGGCCUUUUCUGGGUGUCUGCUGCCUUCGUGAGACAGGAGAUAAUGCCAAAGUGCUUAAACAAAAAUGUUUGUAAAUUAAUGUUGUUUCCUAUUGCUGUCAACCUCUCCGUCAUUCAUGCCAAAUACAAGUUUUCACUGUGGUGAAAGAUUUGCGUGUGUGAUCUGUGUUGGCUUCUCUUGUGCAGCAGAAUUUGAGGACAGGGAAUGUCUCUGAUAGGAGAGUACUGGAUUGUCAUGUGAAAACAAAGGUUCUCUGCCUCCACUUAACAGAACUGAUGUGCUGCACAGUCAAAUCACUUCUAUUUUAUUAAAUUCCAUCCACAUACUUGGGUACAUAAAUUUGAAUAAUUCGUAGAUGCUUCUGACAGUUUCGUUUUUCAGAUGUAAAUCAUACAAGUUGCAUGCAACAGAUAGAUGAAAUGUAUUUUUAAUGAAGAUCUGAUUUAUUUUUUUUUCUGUCUCUGAUUUGAAAAUAUUUGGAAUAAAGCAUCAGCC
ensembl:lncRNA